UUUCUUAUGCUAUAAUAAAUUUAGUAGUAGUAAAGUGAAAAAGAUGGUGGCUAAAUCUCCAGGAACGGGGGUGAUGCCUCUUGGUUAUAGAAGGUUUUACUCCUAGAAAGGAAUAGCCGUGUCUGUGUAUGAAGCACUGACGUUUGCGGUGGUAUUUGCCACCCUCGUCGUGAUGAUUCUCGACUUUAA
rfam:Listeria monocytogenes EGD-e, complete genome